rnacentral:rRNA from 1 species
UCGCCACGGUAACACCAGCCCCGCGAGUGGUCGGGACGGUUAUUGGGCCUAAAGCGCCCGUAGCCGGCCCGGCAAGUCCUCCCUUAAAGCCUCGGGCUCAACCCGAGGACGGGGAGGAUACUGCCGGGCUAGGGGCGGGAGAGGCCGGCGGUACUCCGGGGUAGGGGCGAAAUCCAAUAAUCCCGGGAGGACCACCAGUGGCGAAGGC